rnacentral:lncRNA from 1 species
ACAACAUAUGGUUUAGAAGGAGUAAAAGAAUACAAAGGGUCUUGAUUACAGUACCCGUAGUAUAUUAUGGAACAGUGCCAGUUCUACUGAUGAAGAUCAUCCGAUUGGAAGGGCAUUGGAAGCCCCAUAAAACUGCAGCAAAGCACACAACCCUCACUUUCUAGUUACAAUGAAGGGAAAAAAAAAAAAACUACUCUAUAUAGC